GACAGAGGGGGCAAGCGUUGUUCGGAUUGAUUGGGCGUAAAGGGUGCGUAGGCGGACCUGUAAGUCAGUUGUGAAAUCCCGGGACCUAAUCCCGGGGCUGCAGCUGAGACUGCCGGUCUUGAGCUUGUUAUAGGAUGGCAGAAUUUCUAGUGUAGGAGUGAAAUCCAUAGAUAUUAGAAGGAAUACCGAUGGCGAAGGCAGCCGUCUGGGUCAUAGCUGACGCUGAGGCACGAAAGCGUGGGGAGCAAACAGG
rnacentral:rRNA from 1 species